CUUCAUAUAACAUACAACUAAAUAUGCCUUUAUGAAUAACAUUCACAGCACACAAUCAAACCAAGAAUAUUUGUGUUUUCCGUCAGACGCAUUUUGAACUCGUAUCCGUACAGAGCAAGCUCGAUUCACAUUUCGAAAUAAAAACAAAUAGAUUUUCAAAAAUUGUAUGGAAAGAAAAAAACAGAAAAAAAAAAUUUAGUGUGUGUGCUUUACCGGCCGGUCCAAUUGUUCAGUUGCUGUUAACGUGUUACAAUUUAUUGAUAUUAAUAAUGAGUGGUCCAAUAAACCGAGAACAUUAAUUUACUUGUCGUUAAGUAAGCCGAAAUUUAUUCUAUACUUGGGAAUGUCCAUUCUAUACUUGGGAAUAUUCAUUCCACCGUUUCGUGGUACCAAUUACUAUUCGGACAAGUUUCAAUAAUUCAUUUCAUCGACGUAGUACCGUAGUACCCUAGUACCGUAGCUUUGAAACGUUAUGUGCUGACCAGGUACGAUUGUAUAUUUUUGCGGAGGUGACAGUAAACGUAAUAAAUUUAGUCCAGCGGAAUCUGUCCAUAAUUCAUCUGAGAUAUUACAAAUUUGUGUAGUUUCGGGAUUUUGGUUUAUUUGAAAAAAUCACAGAAGCAUGACAGUCUAAUUGGUGGUGAUAAUAAACAACUUUUGGACGAGAGAAUGAGUGUUUUCUUCAGCCGAAAUACUAAUUAAUAACUAUCGUCGCGCAAUGGACCAUUAUUUUCGUCGGUAAAAAAUUUAGUGUUUGUGCAAAAAGAAAAAAUAUUUUGUGUUUUUUGUAUGCUACUGCUACACAUCAAUUAUUAUAAAUACACGUAGCCGAGAAAUUCUUCUAAAUAUUUUUUUUUGUUCGCUGUAUACGUGCGAAUAAUUAACGCGAAAAUAGAUUUAUACAACAACAGCAUUAUUGAUUCAUGUAAAUAUCGCGGAUUUAUAGUUGUUUUUUGCGAAUAUAUAUAACAACCAAUUAAAUUUAUUCGAUUGCAUCAUUGAAGACAUGUCAUGUUUUAGUUUACAUUGGAAUAUAUAAAACGAAUGUGUUGAAAGUGUUUUUGGAACGUUCACUACUUAAUCCGUUCAUUAAUAUACAUAUACAUACGUACAAGUGAUAGCAAUUUAUACGAUUUUAUUUUACAUUAACAAGAAAAUAUUUA